CUGAAAGCGAUAACAACAGUAGCACUACUUGUGUAUGAUGUCAAAUAUUGCAAACUAAGAAUGAUACCAUGCCCUGGAUUAGUAUCAACCGGAAUUUUAUAUGUUGGAAAUGAUUAUUGACCAAAAAUUGUUACAAGAAUUCCAAAUUGUUCACAAUUGAGUAAUAAAAUGAUAACCAAACUAUAAGCACUUAGAAUAAUGGAAUAUCACAAAUCCAAUCAAGCAUCAAAUACGAUUUUAAAGGACAGAAUGUGAUAGUAAUGAAAUUUAUGGAUCAUCUGUGUAGUACAACAACAUGCGGCCAAUCAAAUUAUUUUCAACAAAAAAAUACAC